rnacentral:rRNA from 1 species
GACGAACGCUGGCGGCGUGCCUAAGACAUGCAAGUCGAGCGGGGUUUCGGGGCUUCGGCCCUGAGACCCAGCGGCGGACGGGUGAGUAACACGUGGAUAACCUGCCCUCUGCUCUGGGAUAACAGGCCGAAAGGCCUGCUAAUACCGGAUAAGCUCACGGACCCGCAUGGGUUUGGGAGAAAAGGCGCUGGAGUCAGUGGCGCUGGCAGAGGAGGGGUCCGCGGCCCAUUAGCUGGUUGGCGGGGUAACGGCCCACCAAGGCGACGAUGGGUAGCCGGCCUGAGAGGGCGACCGGCCACACUGGGACUGAGACACGGCCCAGACUCCUACGGGAGGCAGCAGUCGGGAAUUUUGCACAAUGGCCGAAAGGCUGAUGCAGCAACGCCGCGUGAGCGAAGAAGGCCUUCGGGUUGUAAAGCUCUGUUGCCUGCGAAGAAGGGCCCCGUCAGGAAAUGGGCGGGGUUUGACGGUAGCAGGCGAGGAAGCCCCGGCAAACUACGUGCCAGCAGCCGCGGUAAUACGUAGGGGGCGAGCGUUGUCCGGAAUUACUGGGCGUAAAGGGCGUGUAGGCGGCCUGUUAAGUCAGGGGUGAAAGACCGGGGCUCAACCCCGGGGGUGCCUCUGAAACUGGCGGGCUUGAGUGCUCUAGAGGGCAGUGGAAUUCCCGGUGUAGCAGUGAAAUGCGUAGAGAUCGGGAGGAACACCAGUGGCGAAGGCGGCUGCCUGGGGAGUCACUGACGCUGAGGCGCGAAAGCUAGGGGAGCAAACAGGAUUAGAUACCCUGGUAGUCCUAGCCGUAAACAAUGAGCGCUAUGUGUGAGGGGUAUCGACCCCCCUCGUGCAGUAGCUAACGCAUUAAGCGCUCCGCCUGGGGAGUACGGCCGCAAGGUUGA